rnacentral:sRNA from 1 species
GACACGGAUGAUUUAGGACUGAUGGCCAUGUUGAUCAAGGAAGGCGUGUUCAUCAGGUGAAUACUAUCAGAAAAAUAUGUUUAAAAAACUAUUUUUGGGAGUUGAUUUUAAUCCACUCUCCUAUGCAGUUACUCUGGCAAACCGAAAGUGAAACAGUGUUUGGAUCUAAGCACAAAUCAUCACCGCUGACAAGACAUAGAUCUUGUAAAUAAUGGAUAAAAACGGUGCUCUGU